GAUGAACGCUGGCGGCGUGCUUAACACAUGCAAGUCGAACGAUGAAGCCCAGCUUGCUGGGUGGAUUAGUGGCGAACGGGUGAGUAACACGUGAGUAACCUGCCCUUAACUCUGGGAUAAGCCUGGGAAACUGGGUCUAAUACCGGAUAGGAGCGUCCACCGCAUGGUGGGUGUUGGAAAGAUUUAUCGGUUUUGGAUGGACUCGCGGCCUAUCAGCUUGUUGGUGAGGUAAUGGCUCACCAAGGCGACGACGGGUAGCCGGCCUGAGAGGGUGACCGGCCACACUGGGACUGAGACACGGCCCAGACUCCUACGGGAGGCAGCAGUGGAGAAUAUUGCACAAUGGGCGAAAGCCUGAUGCAGCGACGCCGCGUGAGGGAUGACGGCCUUCGGGUUGUAAACCUCUUUCAGUAGGGAAGAAGCGAAAGUGACGGUACCUGCGGAAGAAGCACCGGCUAACUACGUG
rnacentral:rRNA from 1 species